rnacentral:rRNA from 1 species
AGGUAGGAACACCGCUGAACUUAAGAUAUCAAUAAGCGGAGGA